rnacentral:rRNA from 1 species
AUGUCGGCAGGGGCGACGGGAGGCGAUAUGGUGGCGGAGCAGGAGGUGGUGGAGCAGGAACGGGCGGUGGACAGCGCCGAAGCUCAGAUCUUGGCGGCCAGGGUAGCGGCGGCCGCGGACAGGAGAGAGAGCUCACCCUCGACGUUGAAGUUGUCAACUGGGAAGAUGAAUCCCCGGGCGCCUGAAUGGAAUAAGAGGCUGAAGAUAGUGCUGCUGCACCGAGCAGAACACCGUGCCCAAACCAUGGGCAAAGCCGCGUGCUGCAAAACAUGUGCAAAUGCAGUUACAGGCCUCAAAUAUCUUGUCAGCAAACUAAAACAUCUCAAGCUGGAUGUGCUCGCGUGCAGUUGCAAGGUUCGAGAGGCAACGAGCAUUUAUUUCCUUCAGUAG